rnacentral:rRNA from 1 species
AAUAUUGGACAAUGGGCGAAAGCCUGAUCCAGCCAUGCCGCGUGAGUGAUGAAGGCCCUAGGGUUGUAAAGCUCUUUCAGUGGUGAAGAUAAUGACGGUAACCACAGAAGAAGCCCCGGCUAACUUCGUGCCAGCAGCCGCGGUAAUACGGAGGGGGCUAGCGUUGUUCGGAUUUACUGGGCGUAAAGCGCACGUAGGCGGAUUGGUCAGUUAGGGGAGAACUCCCGGAGCUCAACUCCGGAACUGCCUUUAAUACUGCCAGUAGAGGGAGCGAGAGGGGUAAAGGGAACCCCUAGUGUAGAGGUAGAAUUCAUAGAUAUUAGGGAGAACAGCAGUGGCAGAGGCGGCUUACUGGCUCGGAACUGACGCUGAGGUGAGAAAGCGUGGGGAGCAAAC